GCUCCGGGUGGCCUAGUGGUUAGAGCGUCCGCCUUGGAUGCGGGAGGUCGUGGGUUCGAACCCGGCCAAGUU